UACGGGGGGGGCAAGCGUUGUUCGGAAUUACUGGGCGUAAAGGGCUCGUAGGCGGCCAACUAAGUCAGACGUGAAAUCCCUCGGCUUAACCGGGGAACUGCGUCUGAUACUGGAUGGCUUGAGUCCGGGAGAGGGAUGCGGAAUUCCCGGUGUAGCGGUGAAAUGCGUAGAGAUCGGGAGGAACAUCAGUGGCGAAGGCGGCAUCCUGGACCGGCAUUGACGCUGAGUGAGCGAAAGCCAGGGGAGCAAAGCGGG
rnacentral:rRNA from 1 species